UACAGAGGUCCCAAGCGUUGUUCGGAUUCACUGGGCGUAAAGGGUGCGUAGGUGGUGAGGUAAGUCGGAUGUGAAAUCUCCGAGCUCAACUCGGAAAUGGCAUUGGAAACUACCUUGCUCGAGGGUUGGAGGGGGGACUGGAAUGCUUGGUGUAGCAGUGAAAUGCGUAGAUAUCAAGCGGAACACCAGUGGCGAAGGCGAGUCCCUGGACAACUCCAGACACUGAGGCACGAAAGCUAGGGGAGCAAACAGG
rnacentral:rRNA from 1 species